rnacentral:rRNA from 1 species
GAAGAGUUUGAUCAUGGCUCAGAUUGAACGCUGGCGGCAGGCCUAACACAUGCAAGUCGAACGGUAACAGGAAGCAGCUUGCUGCUUUGCUGACGAGUGGCGGACGGGUGAGUAAUGUCUGGGAAACUGCCUGAUGGAGGGGGAUAACUACUGGAAACGGUGGCUAAUACCGCAUAACGUCGCAAGACCAAAGAGGGGGACCUUCGGGCCUCUUGCCAUCAGAUGUGCCCAGAUGGGAUUAGCUUGUUGGUGAGGUAACGGCUCACCAAGGCGACGAUCCCUAGCUGGUCUGAGAGGAUGACCAGCCACACUGGAACUGAGACACGGUCCAGACUCCUACGGGAGGCAGCAGUGGGGAAUAUUGCACAAUGGGCGCAAGCCUGAUGCAGCCAUGCCGCGUGUAUGAAGAAGGCCUUCGGGUUGUAAAGUACUUUCAGCGGGGAGGAAGGUGUUGUGGUUAAUAACCGCAGCAAUUGACGUUACCCGCAGAAGAAGCACCGGCUAACUCCGUGCCAGCAGCCGCGGUAAUACGGAGGGUGCAAGCGUUAAUCGGAAUUACUGGGCGUAAAGCGCACGCAGGCGGUCUGUCAAGUCGGAUGUGAAAUCCCCGGGCUCAACCUGGGAACUGCAUUCGAAACUGGCAGGCUUGAGUCUUGUAGAGGGGGGUAGAAUUCCAGGUGUAGCGGUGAAAUGCGUAGAGAUCUGGAGGAAUA